GACAGAGGGUGCAAACGUUGUUCGGAAUUACUGGGCGUAAAGCGCGUGUAGGCGGCCCUGCAAGUCGGAUGUGAAAUCCCACGGCUCAACCGUGGAAGUGCAUUCGAAACUGCAGGGCUAGAGUCCUGGAGAGGAAGGUGGAAUGCUUGGUGUAGAGGUGAAAUUCGUAGAUAUCGAGAGGAACACCUGCGGCGAAGGCGGGUUGCUGGGCUGACACUGACGCUGAGGCGCGAAAGCCAGGGGAGCGAACAGG
rnacentral:rRNA from 1 species